ACAAACAAAUUGAAAAAAAAAAAAAUGAAAGCAUAGCCAAAAGUAUCUACUAAUUCAUUUUUUAACAUUGGUUUU
rnacentral:ribozyme from 12 species